rnacentral:rRNA from 1 species
GACGAACGCUGGCGGCGUGCUUAACACAUGCAAGUCGAACGGAAAGGCCCUGCUUUUGUGGUGUGCUCGAGUGGCGAACGUGUGAGUAACACGUGAGUAACCUGCCCUUGACUUUGGUAUAACUUCAGGAAACUGGGUCUAAUACCGUAUAGGAGCUCCUGCUGCAUUGUGGUGGUUGGAAAGUUUCGGCGGUUGGGUGUGCUCUCGCGGCUUAUCAGCGUGUUGGUGGGGUUGUGGCUUACCAAGGCUUUGACGGGUAGGCGGCCUGAGAGGGUGACCGGACACUUUGGGACUGAGAUACGGCCCAGACUCAUACGGGAGGCAGAAGUGGGGAAUAUUGCAAAAUGGGCGGAAGUCAGAUGCAGCAACGCCGCGUGCGGGAUGACGGCUUUCGGGCUGUAAACCGCUUUGGCAUGUGACGAAGCGUGAGUGACGGUAAUGGGUAAAGAAGCACCGGCUAACUACGUG